rnacentral:lncRNA from 10 species
UCAACUAACACCUGCUGAACCAGAAUUGCCACGGUUUGGGUUUGAGAAUCUGUUUUUUUGUUUUUGCUUUUAUAAGUUUCAGAAGCAAAAGUGAGGGUCGCUGGUUUGCAGGUGAUUGAAGGGUUUGGCCACCUGUGGGCCAUGAUGUCAUUGUUGUUGGUGGUGGUAAUGGUGAGGUUGGGGCUGUGAUGUCGUUGUCAUUGGUGGUAGUGAUGGUGAGAGGUCGGGGCUGUGAUGUCAUUGUCAUUGGUGGUGGUGAUGGUGAGGUCGGGGCUGUGAUGUCGUUGUCGGUGGUGGUGGUGAUGGUGAGGUCACUGUAGGAAAGCCCAGCAGAAUGGCCCUGAAGCGUGGGCUCCGUCCCCGAUAUGCCUUCCCAUGAUCUCUUUUCUGGGCUGACCUACAACAGUACGUUUUGCCCACUGCCUUUCAGUCGUGAUCAAUUUUCUCCAGUUACUGGUGCGUUGAUUUUCCAUAUCUUUUGUAACAAAUGACCAGACAUUGGGCAGCUUGAACAUCUCAAAUGUAUUUUCUCACAGCUCUGGAGGCCAGAAGUCCGACGUCCUCCUCACUGGGAUGAAGUCGGGGUGUAGGCAGGGCCGCGCCCGCUCGCCGGGCUCUAAGGGAAGAUCCUGGCUGCCUCUCCAGCUCUCCUGGCUGGGCCCCGCCCCCUCGCCAGGCUCUGAGGGAAGAUCCUGGCUGCCACUCCAGCCCUCCUGGCUGGGCCACGCCCCCUCGCUGGGCUCUAACGGAAGAUCUUCGCUGCCUCUCCAGCUCUCCUGGCUGGGCCGCGCCCCCUCGCCAGGCUCUGAGGGAAGAUCCUCGCUGCCUCUCCAGCUCUCCUGGCUGGGCCACGCCCCCUC